GAAGGGUCCAGCUGCAGGCUUGGGCGUUCCCGUCAUGACACAAAAACGCCCAUCGGGCGUUCCCGUCAUGACACAAAAACGCCCAUCAGGCGUUCCUGUAGCGUUUCAUCGAUCAAUCAAGAAGAGUACCCUGGCACAUGCUUUGUCCAAUGGACCAUGGAAGGGACUUUACUUGGCUGACGUGGACGCACCUCACCAGUAUCAGAGCAACAGCUGUGGGGUGUUUAUGCUGCUGGUGAGAUGCAUUAUUUUCAGAAAUGAUGACCGAUGACUAGUUUGCAAAACAACUAACUCAUUUGUAUGUUAAUUUCAGUACGCAAUGUAUUCUACCCUCAAAAGCAAUAUGAUUUCAGUGCCAUAGUACACUGCUAAACAGUACUGUAACAUGGAUUUGUAUUAGGCUAUGAAGUCAUUUAAAGCAUAACUUUACUUUUCAGGGGGACAUGCUCUCUAUCAGGAGGUGGUGGUUGGACAGCUGUUGGAGACCUUUAUGCUUGAAAGGUUUAUAUACUGUGUCCAUGUUGCUAUUUACUUAUUUUUGGUGCUCACGAAGAUCGUAGCCAAUACACUUGUCUCUCUGUCUCUAGCCCUGCAGAACUAGCUGGCUCCUUCUCCCCCUCUCCAUCUCCCCAUCUCAGUCACACCUUCCAAUCACUAAGCAGUGAAAGCCCUGCAGGGCUAGCUGGCACACCAAGCUCACCCUCUCUAUCUCCCCAUCUCAGCCACACGCUCCAAUCUGGCACAACAGAGGACAGGCCAUUCUUACCACCCGAAGUCCUUCAGCAAAUUGUUCAAGAGACGCUGAGACUGGACAUGGCGAUGCUUGGCGUGUUCAACAGGGUUUCAAACACAUUCCGAGAACUAAUCAAGCCUCUCCAUCCUUCCAUAUAUAUAAAUGAGUUUGGCAGGGGACAUUAAGCUUAAUAAAGACAAUCUCAUAUGCAUAACGGUUAGAAAGAUUUACAACAAUGCAGGCUGUGGCAGUGGCGCUACGCCUCAAAGGCUUCUUAAAAAAGAAGAAUUGGCCAAGAGCACCCCUGGUACUGAGGCACGUUGCAUAUGGCAGGUUUGUCAUAAAAGAUGUCUGCCUAGGAUAAUGUUCUUUUAUUACUCCUUUUUCGUUUUAUUUGGGACGUCUUUUUUUGCAAUCCCUUUCAUUUGUAAAUGUGCAUACUACUGUAGUAAAUGUAUCUGCCCAGAAAUGCUGGUAUUUUAU